rnacentral:rRNA from 1 species
GCCCCAGACUCCUACGGGAGGCAGCAGUGGGGGAUAUUGGACAAUGGGGGGAACCCUGAUCCAGCGACGCCGCGUGAGUGAAGAAGUAUCUCGGUCUAUAAAGCUCUAUCAGCAGGGAAGAAAGAAAUGACGGUACCUGAGUAAGAAGCCCCGGCUAACUACGUGCCAGCAGCCGCGGUAAUACGUAGGGGGCAAGCGUUAUCCGGAAUUACUGGGUGUAAAGGGAGCGUAGACGGUGAAGUAAGUCUGGAGUGAAAGGCGGGGGCCCAACCCCCGGACUGCUCUGGAAACUGUGUAGCUAGAGUGCUGGAGAGGCAAGCGGAAUUCCUAGUGUAGCGGUGAAAUGCGUAGAUAUUAGGAAGAACACCAGUGGCGAAGGCGGCUUGCUGGACAGUAACUGACGUUGAGGCUCGAAAGCGUGGGGAGCAAACAGGAUUAGAUACCCGAGUAG